AGGAUACUAUUGCAAUUAGCUGGAUGGGAGAUGAGCAAGAGACAUUGCUGUUAUUCCACCAACACUGUAGCAGUGGAGGCGGUGAAGAGUUGUUGGAUUUUGAAAGUAAUCUGUAGGAUUCACCGGUGGUUGGAUUUGGGGUGUAAGAGAAAGAGAAGAAUCAAAGAUAACCCCAAGAUGAUUGGCCUGAGUGCCGCACCCCCACACACCCCAAAGGGAGUUACUAUUAACUACGAUGGAGAAUCAGGGGAAAAACUGGUUUUGGAGGAAAGCAGGGAGAAGACAGACAACCAUUUUCCACUUAUUUCAAAACAUGACUUUUUUGAGAUUGCUUUGAAUCAUAAACUUAUUGAGCUAUAAUAAAAUAAGAGAGGGUAAUAAAGAGUAACAAGUGUUCCCGCAACCACAUUGUGUGGAUCUUAGAGAAUGCACUUUAUGGGUGACCAGAGAUGACAGAGAUUUAAGCCCCAUUCCCAAGGAAAUGCAGACAGAACCUGUGGUCACAUUUACUGGUCUUUUCACAUUUUUGCCUUUAUGAUUCAACCAAAUUUGGCAAACGCUGGUUAUUCACGCUCAAAACCACAUUUUUAAAUCAAUAUCAGUUGUGUUUUUCUUAUCAUUUUUCUCAUUUGAAUCACUGUUCAACUGUAGAGCAAAAUGAAAAU
rnacentral:lncRNA from 1 species